GCCGAGGUGGCGGAAUUGGCAUACGCGCCGGUCUCAAAAACCGGUGGCUGAAAAGCUGUGCGGGUUCGACUCCCGCCCUCGGCA
rnacentral:tRNA from 1 species